rnacentral:rRNA from 1 species
UAGGGAAUCUUCCGCAAUGGGCGAAAGCCUGACGGAGCAACGCCGCGUGAGUGAUGAAGGUCUUCGGAUCGUAAAACUCUGUUAUUAGGGAAGAACAAAUGUGUAAGUAACUAUGCACGUCUUGACGGUACCUAAUCAGAAAGCUACGGCUAACUACGUGCCAGCAGCCGCGGUAAUACGUAGGUGGCAAGCGUUAUCCGGAAUUAUUGGGCGUAAAGCGCGCGUAGGCGGUUUUUUAAGUCUGAUGUGAAAGCCCACGGCUCAACCGUGGAGGGUCAUUGGAAACUGGAAAACUUGAGUGCAGAAGAGGAAAGUGGAAUUCCAUGUGUAGCGGUGAAAUGCGCAGAGAUAUGGAGGAACACCAGUGGCGAAGGCGACUUUCUGGUCUGUAACUGACGCUGAUGUGCGAAAGCGUGGGGAUCAAACAGG